ensembl:lncRNA
ACACACCUACAAGAAAUAGUUGAGAAGACAGAUAAAGGAGAGGAGCUUUGUGAGAUUGGAAGUGAGACUUAGGGAUUAUCUGCAGUAUGAAUUAGAUGAAGUGACUGUAUACUGUGAUGUUUGGAAAGCUGCGGUGUCCCACCAGGAUUUGAAUAUCUUCUGACAUCCCUGUGGUAUGGUAUUGCUGUUUAGAUUUACAGCAUGGUCUUGGUUUCUGUUUGGAAAGAUGCAGUCUGAAACUCCCUGUGAAACAGAACUGUCUGCCUGAGAUAUCUUAAAUCCAU